GGGUUAGAUGUGUCUGUUUGGGUCUGCCCCAAUGAAGUUAGAAAAUUGCUCUUUUGUCAUCAGGAUUUGGUCUUGGAUACUCUAAAUUGACGAAAAUACCUUCAAUGACAGUUAACGCCCACGAUCGUUAACUGUCGUUGACACCUACGGUAGUUAACUAUCAUUUCCAGAGGAAAAAAAAAAAAUACAUUUCAAGCAAGAACACAGACAAACGUGUAUUCAAAGAC
rnacentral:lncRNA from 1 species